rnacentral:tRNA from 1 species
GCCUGGCUGGCUCAGUCGGUAGAGCAUGUGGCUCUCAAUCUUAGGGUUGUGAGUUUGAGCCCCAUGUUGGGUG